rnacentral:rRNA from 1 species
UACAGAGGGGGCAAGCGUUAUUCGGAAUUAUUGGGCGUAAAGGGCGCGUAGGCGGCCUGGCAAGUGGAAGGUGAAAUCCCUCGGCUUAACCGAGGAACUGCCCUCCAAACUGCUUGGCUUGAGUCCGGGAGAGGUGAGUGGAAUUCCCAGUGUAGCGGUGAAAUGCGUAGAUAUUGGGAGGAACAUCAGUGGCGAAGGCGGCUCACUGGACCGGAACUGACGCUGAGGCGCGAAAGCGUGGGGAGCAAACGGG